CUGCACCCAUUGAUGGACCGUGAGCAAUCUGACAUUAUUCUUUUAGUUUCCAUUAGGAUGUGAAUGAAAAAAAAUCACUGCUCUUUCUGUCUGUUUUCAUGGCAACCCAGAUGGAAUAGGGGACUACACCU